rnacentral:rRNA from 1 species
UACGUAGGGGGCUAGCGUUGUCCGGAUUUAUUGGGCGUAAAGAGCGUGUAGGCGGCCAAGUAGGUCCGGUGUGAAAACUCGAGGCUUAACCUCGAGAUGUCAUCGGAAACCAUUUGGCUAGAGUCCGGAAGAGGAAAGUGGAAUUCCUGGUGUAGCGGUGAAAUGCGCAGAUAUCAGGAGGAACACCGGUGGCGAAGGCGGAUCUCUGGGCCUUACUGACGCGUGAGGCGCGAAAGCUAGGGGAGCGAACAGG